UCCGGGCGGCUCCCGCGGCCCCGACGGCGCGGGGUUCCGAGCGGCUGCCUCCAUCCCUUCUCCUCCUCCAUCUCCUCCUCCUCCUCCUCCCCCCCUCACGCCGCCGCCCUCGUUCCCUCCGCCCCGCGAGGAGCCGCCCGAGCCCCGCCGCCCCGCGGGCACCCGGCCUCCGCGGGGGCGGUGGGCGAAGGAAUAAAAACAGGCCCCGGGAGGGGCGCGGGGCUGUAGCUGGAGCCCCGGCCAACAGGGGAAGGAUGAUAGGUGGAAAUGAAUCCUGUACUGCAGGACCAAUAUCGCUGUCCUACUUAAUCUGUGUGGCUCACUUACUGGGAGAAUGGACUGGUGUGGAGCAUCUUGAAGAUUAUCUGGGUUAUACAGUCUACCUUUCAUGGUUGCUUCUUCCACUUGCAAUAGCUUUUAUAUUUCCAGGAAUUUUCUUCCUCACCUUUAUCUACAGUACUGUUAUCCUUCUUCAUAUUCAUAAAAGGAAGAGGAAAUUAAGUGGAGAUAAUUCAGGUAACGUUUGGGAUGGUGCAAGAAAAAUGUUGACUACCAUAUGGGAUGCACAUGGAAGAAUAUGGCAUGGUUACGAGAUUCAUGGUGAUGAAAAAAUUCCAGAAGGACCUGCACUUUUUGUGUUUUAUCAUGGAGCUUGUCCUGCUGACAUUAUCUAUUUCAUAUCUAGACUUCUUUUAGAAAAGAAGAGAUUCUGCUACAUAGUAGCUGAUCAUUUUGUCUCUAGAAUACCAGGUUUUAAAAUAUUAGUUGAAGCAUUUGAAGUUUUGCAUGGACCAAAAGAAGCAUGUGCCAAUGCUCUGAAGAAAGGCUAUCUGUUAGUUAUUUCUCCCGGUGGAGUUCGGGAAGCACUUUUUAGUGAUGAAACAUACGUUAUUAUGUGGGGUAAUCGAAAGGGCUUUGCUCAGGUUGCCAUUGAUGCAAAAGUGCCCAUCAUUCCUGUGUUUACACAAAAUGUUCGAGAAGGCAUUAGGACAUUAGGAAGAAUAAAAAUACUUAGGAAACUAUAUGAACGUAUUAGAUUGCCAGUAGUUCCUAUGUACGGUGGGUUUCCAGUCAAGCUUCGUACAUUUGUUGGAGAACCCAUUCCAUAUGAUCCAAAUAUAACUGCUGAGGAACUGACUGCUAAGACAAAAGCAGCACUCCAGGCCCUAAUAGAAAAACAUCAGAAAAUACCAGGAAAUAUAUGUAGGGCUUUAAUGGAACGAUUUCAAACGCGACAGAAAGAAGACUAAGGUCUUCUGAAUUUGAAAAUAUGGGCGAAGUGGAGUGACACAUAAAAGUCAAAGAAAUUGCAAGUCGGCACAAUGGAUCCCGGUAAGAAACCGGAGGCAAAAGAUGACACUACUCUAACCAGUCAGAGAAGUUGUUCUGGGGAUUAAGUUUCCUGCCUUUAUCAGGACAUUGGUAGGACACAGCUGAGGACAUGAGACCUCUGAUGAAGUACCACACAGGUACAACGUAACCUCUCCCACUGCUGCACUGGCACAGCCUGCUGGAAUCUGAAUCAUCAUGAGAAGGUGACAGUGUUUGAAACAUAGACACUACAGAUGGCAAGCAGCCCCAAGCAAAAGCAAAUCCCCAAAGAAAAACACACAAAAAAGCAAAUACCGGAGACAAACAGGCCUUUAAAAUAAAGGAAUGAACAAACAAACAAAAAAGAGAAAGCCUUACAGGGAGACCCUUGGAAAAGUUACAAAAAAGAUUGUUAAGAACAAACAAUGCAAUAAGGACAGGGUGAAUUGCAUAAUGCUGCCUGAUCCAUCUAAGGGGAGCCUCCAGAUGUUCCCUGUAACUCUCACGGAGACACAAGUUGUCUCAUCAAGAAAAUGCAGCUGGUGGAUGCAGGAGUCAAAGCUUAUUUCUCCAAAAGCAUCUUCUAAUGCCACUGUACAUUGAGAUGCUUUGGAUAUUCAGUUUGAAAAACAAUGGCCACAUUUUUCAGAGCUACUGAGCAUUGCUGGAUCCCAUCUGAGAGGACCAGAACUGCAGGCCCUGACCACCCUCUAUAACGCCAGGGUAAGCUCCAGCUAAACCUUCUUUCCUGCAGACAGACAUCAUUGCCCAGUGACCUUUUUUGUUGCUGAUUCCAGGUGGAAACAAGCAUCCCUGCAGAGCACUGUGCAAGAUGAGAGACUCAAUAAUGGACUAAGCUGGAGACAGAGACAACCUGCAGUAAAGGCAGAUGCUUCUGGCACCAAGCCACUGCUCAGACGACUUUCCCCUUUUUUAUUGAUUUCUGCUUCCAACAAUGGAGUUGAUCAAAUUCCAAAUUGGGACUCCUAUGAACUUUACAGACACAGGAAAUUGAAGGUCAGUAUAAGAUUAACUUGCUUAAAACUAUGAGAUAGUUUGGAGAUGAACUGCAGGAGCCGUAAUAAUCCAUUAGCUCAAUUUCAAUUUAUUUAUAAAGCUAAAGUACUUAGGCUUAUCCCUCCAUACUUUGGGACAUUAUCAUUGAUCUUUCCCUCUCUAAGCUGGUCUACUUGGUUAAUAAUGCCAGUCCUGUGAGUGCCUGUGGCAUUCACACAGCAGUGGGAAACACUUCCCAUGCUUAUUGAUGUGCUCAUGGCAGUACAGUUUAUGCUCACAGCACUUAACAAGAACCCAACUGAAAAUAAAUGGCUUGGUUAUUGGAAGACCCACUAAGUACGAGCAUCCCUUUGUCUUUAGUUUUGUGUGUAGCCUGUGAAUGAGAAAUCUUUCUAUCUUGGAAAAGCCUACUGCUUAGGAACAAACAUGAAGUCUACGAUAUGCAUGGUCCAGCGUGCAAGAUGAAUGCAAUGGCACAGAGGUAAAAGAUGCCUGUCUGGUCUGUCUGGCUCUACAUGCUCUGGAGCUAUGUUUUUGUCAGUAAAUUGAGUUCUCUUCCCCCUUUCACAGUGAAAAGAAGCACUGGUGAGCACAAAAGAAUAACAUUAAUGUAAACUAGUUUAAAUAGGUAUUACUGUGUGAACAACCUACUUAAGAGUGUAGUGUACAUUAGAGCUCACUAGCCCCAAAACAUGCCAGACAGCAAGUUUCCGACCCAUCUUUACAUCAAGUUCACUUGUGGUUCUGUGCUUGACCCUGGGUCUGAAGUACUCCCACAGCAAAAAUAUUAUACAGUAUAAGUACUUUCCUGCCUCAAGUAUAUAGCACAGAAGUCACUGAAUAAAUGCAUUUUGUCCCUGUGCAGUAUACAGGAGAAGAAGAACUCUCCAUCUCUUGUUGGGCUUUCCAAGAUUCCCAUUGUGGUGGUAGGAAGGCACAGCUCCUUCCCAUACACGUAGGUCUCGGGGUACUUUAUGAGCAGUUAAUACUGCUCAUAUGAGCUAAGUAAAGUAGGAGAAAAAAACAUUCUUGGAUAAUUUUGCCUAGGCAUUUUUUGUUAUUGUUGUUACCAAGUCCCUAUAUUUAGUGUUUUGUUUGUUUGUUUGUUUGUUUGAGCAUGUUUUUCUACAGGAACCAUAGCCAUUUCUUUCCUCUUCGAAGGCAGGAGAGGUGGCAACUGUUCUGAAUAAGCACCGUUCAAGCAACUUGCAAUUUUUUCUCUGUUUCUUUCCUUUGUUAAGAAUCUAUUUAAAAUAUCUACUAUCUUUGCUUCGCUCGGAAAGAAUUUGCUUUGCUUCUCUCAUGUGGAAAGUCUACAUUUAAAACAUUCUGGAGGAGACUUUUGCCUGAGAGGUUAAUAGUUUGCCUAGAAACAUGUCAAGUAAAUCCCUUUUACCCCAAGGUAACUAGUCCCACACCAUGGCAGCUACCCACCCACUUAAUGCUUUUUCACCUCAUGAAUUAUAUACUUAUGGGGUGUCAUCAAAUGACUUUACAGGGCUCAAGACUGUGGUUUUGAUGUCUUCUGCCCCCUGGUUCACAUGAUUAGUUAAGAAAUUUUUUAUGAGCGUCUUUCUUUCUGGAUUCUACUGGUUUCUUCGGUGGGGAGUCACAGAGUUACAGGGACAGAGGAUCUAGGACUCCUGUGACAGUACGACAGUUACCAUUUGUGUUGCUGGGCUGCUGCUUCCCUGUUGCACUUUGCCAAGCUACAAGAUAUAUGUGAAAAACAAAACCUUGAAGAAUCCAUCAGUCACAUGCAAUCACCAUGUGCUGUCUGUCAAAUUCAGUUACUCAACAUAUAUAUUUAUAUAUAUAUAUGUUUCCUCUCUUUGAACUCACGCUAAUUAUUAGUUGCUGCUUGGUGGGUUGUUUUCCCCUGAUCUCCCUUUCUUGGUCACCUAAGAGAGGCCAACAAGAAGCAUCUAAGGAGUGGGAGCAUGGCUAAGGGACAGAAAGGCUGAGAGAUCUGGGUGCUGUCCUUUGUUGCACAAACUCCAGGUGCUGCCUGGGGUGACAUUGCACACCCGAAUGUGGCAAUGAAGUCCAAGAGGACUGUUAAGACCAUUGGUAGUGCAGGCAAAGUCAGAACAACUUGUGUAAUAAUCUAGUAAUUAAAGCACUUGUGCAGGAGGCAGGAGUAGAAGAAACUAAACCCUCCUCAACCCUAGGGGGUUUGAACACAGGAAGAUCAAGGAAGUUGCUUCUUCUCUGGUGUUUUCCCAAUUACCAUGCUAAGGACAAGGCUGGGUGAGGCCCAAGGCCCACCUCUCCCUUGCCCAUCACCCUAUCGGGCUUACUGCAUAGUAAACAGCGAUGCUUUCAGGAGUCUGAAAGGAGAAUGAAAGCAACAGAGCACCAUCUCCUGUUCUCUGUGAGCAGUGGCCUUCUCAAGUAAUGGAGGGGUUUCUGUCCUGGCUUUCUGCACUGUUCACUCUUUCUGUAUUCAUUGUGGUUGAAAUGUUACAAGAACCCCAAAAGCAGAGUCCAGAACUCUUCCCCUUGCCUAGGGAGCACCCCCACUGUCCAGCAGCAGGGUCAGGCUCCUCUUGCUUCUCUCUCCAUGGUGCUGUGGACCCCCAGGGAUUAGCCAGGGAGUCUGGCCCCAUGCUGGAGAGCACUUAGGCCCUGAGGGCCAAGGAGAAGGGAGGGCCUGCUGGCCUGCUCGCUGGGCAAGGGCAGCUUUUUGGGAGGUCUUCCUUUGAAACACCAUUCAGGGCCCUGACCUCAGUGGCCGGAGCACCCUGCUCUGGGUGAGGUGGCCAUUGGGGUGUCUGGUGGUUCCUCAAGCUGCCUGCUGUGACAACACCAGUAAGAUU